rnacentral:misc_RNA from 1 species
CGAUACCGAGCGGUUGGGCGUUUCUCCUCCAAAGAACGAACGUACGAAAUUCUCUUACCAGAGUGUAUCUCUGUGUGUGUUUGUGUGUGCCGUACCGUUUCAAGAUCAAGCGAACGAGCUAUAAAAUUUAAGACCAGCAGCAGUGCCAUUUUUGAAAAACAAACAUCAACUUUGAAACGUGCUAAAAAAAUCUGAAAAAGAAGAAAAAGAUCAAAGAAAGUUUUGUGUGUUUCGAGUGUGUUCGAGUCUCUUAAUGUGCCACCAUUACCACCCGCAAGAUGACAUCGCAUUCCUACUAUAAAGACCGCCUGGGCUUCGAUCCCAACGAGCAGCAGAAUGAGCACUCGCACCUCCAUUCCUCCAACUCCAAUUCCAAUUCCAACUCAAUGAAGAGGAGCUCUUCGCGACAGACAACGCACCACCAUCAGAGCUACCAUCAUGCCACCACCAGUAGCAGCCAGUCCCCGGCCCGAAUCUCUGUGUCUCCGGGCGGCAAUCCGGGUAACAAUGGUACCUUGGAGUACCACCAAGUCCAGCGGGAGCAACGCGAUCGGGAGCUGUACAGCAACAACCACCACCACAGUCACCACCACCAGCAGCAGUCGCACCACCAUCGACACUCCUCUGGCAAUACCUCCUCGCCGCUCUACGAGUCCAGUCCGGCGGCCCCCAAAAAGGCCAAACACUCAUCCACCCAGCCCCAGCCGCAGGGUGGCUACGAGGAUGCCCUCACCCAGUUCAAAGAUGAACGCGAUGCCAUUCAGAAGAAGACUUUCACAAAAUGGGUUAACAAACAUCUGAAAAAGCACUGGAAGUAUGCUAAGACCUAUACUAUGCUACAUGUUUGUGUCACCACAAAUGGCAUACCCUGUUGUUCUCAGUCAGCCAAUCGUCGUGUGGUGGACUUGUUUGAAGAUCUGCGCGAUGGUCACAACUUACUUUCACUCCUGGAGGUGCUAUCUGGCGAACACCUGCCACGCGAGAAGGGUAAAAUGCGUUUCCAUAUGCUGCAGAAUGCACAAAUGGCACUCGACUUUCUGCGCUACAAGAAGAUCAAACUGGUCAACAUCCGGGCCGAGGACAUUGUGGAUGGCAAUCCCAAGCUGACACUGGGCUUGAUCUGGACAAUAAUAUUGCAUUUCCAGAUCUCCGAUAUUGUUGUGGGCAAGGAGGACAACGUAUCCGCUCGGGAGGCUCUGCUGCGGUGGGCGCGCCGCUCGACAGCUCGGUAUCCGGGCGUGCGUGUCAAUGACUUUACGUCGUCGUGGCGCGACGGACUGGCCUUCUCGGCUCUGGUGCAUCGCAACCGACCGGACUUGCUUGACUGGCGAAAGGCAAGGAACGAUCGGCCCCGCGAUCGCCUGGAGACGGCCUUCCACAUUGUGGAGAAGGAGUACGGAGUUACGCGUCUCUUGGAUCCAGAAGAUGUGGACACCAAUGAGCCGGAUGAGAAGUCUCUCAUCACGUACAUCUCGUCGCUGUACGACGUAUUCCCGGAGCCACCAUCCAUCCAUCCGUUGUUCGAUAUGGAGUCACAACGCCGGGUCCAUGAAUACCGCGACCUGGCCCAGCAGUUCAUCUACUGGUGCCGAGAGAAGACCGCCUACUUGCAGGAGCGCUCCUUCCCGCCGACCCUCAUCGAGAUGAAGCGGCUGCUGAGCGAUCUGCAGCGCUUCCGCAGCGAGGAGGUCAGUGCCCGCAAACGGGAGAAGUCCAAGCUCAUCCAGAUCUACAAGGAGCUGGAGCGUUACUUCGAGACCGUUGGCGAGGUGGACGUGGAGGCGGAACUCCGGCCGGAUGCCAUCGAGAAGGCCUGGUACCGCAUGAAUACGGCGCUGCAGGAUCGCGAAGUGAUCCUCCAGCAGGAGAUCGAGCGACUGGAGCGCCUCCAACGGUUGGCCGACAAGGUCCAGCGCGAAAUCAAGCAUGUGGACCAGAAGCUGACCGAUCUGGAGACGCGCAUCGUCGAGGAGGGACGACGCAUCGAGCGACUGCAUCCCGUCGAUGCCAAGAGCAUUGUGGAGGCCCUCGAAACGGAGAUCCGUCACCUGGAGGAGCCCAUACAGGACAUGAACCAGGACUGCCAUGUGCUCAACGAGGGCCGCUAUCCCCAUGUCAGCGAGCUGCACAAGAAGGUCAACAAACUGCACCAGAGAUGGGCCCAGCUGCGCACCAAUUUCCACACAAACCUGGUACAGAAACUGUCCGGUUUGAAGUAUCCCGUCCACGAGACCACGGUGACGCGUCAAACGCGCAUGGUGGUCGAAUCCCGUCAGAUCGACACGAAUCCCCACUUCCGCGAUCUGCAGGAGCACAUUGAAUGGUGCCAGAAUAAGUUGAAACAAUUGCUUGCCGCCGACUAUGGCAGCGACUUGCCAUCGGUGAAGGAGGAACUGGACCGGCAACAGCACGAGCACAAGAUCAUCGACCAGUUCCACUCGAAAAUUCUCAACGACGAGCGCCAGCAGACCAAGUUCUCCGGCGACGAGCUGGCCUUGUACCAGCAGCGACUCAACCAGCUGCAGAAGGUCUACGCCGAGCUGCUCAGCACCUCGACGAAAAGGCUCUCGGAUCUGGACUCGCUGCAGCACUUCCUUGGCCAGGCCUCGGCGGAGCUGCAGUGGCUCAACGAGAAGGAGCAGGUGGAAAUCUCGCGCGACUGGGCGGACAAACAACUCGAUCUGCCCUCCGUGCACAGAUACUAUGAGCGUGCAUUUGGUAAUGGCGACGAGAACCUUAUGUCCGAGCUGGAGAAGCGCGAGAUGCACUUUGCCACCAUCCUGGAUCGCGGAGAGGCGCUGUUAAACCAACAGCACCCGGCCUCCAAGUGCAUCGAGGCCCAUCUGACGGCCCUGCAACAGCAGUGGGCCUGGCUCCUGCAGCUGACACUCUGCCUGGAGGUGCACCUCAAGCACGCCACCGAGUACCAUCAGUUCUUCGGCGAGAUCAAGGACGCCGAGCAGUGGCUGGCCAAGCGCGAUGAAAUACUCAAUAGCAAAUUCUCGCAGUCCGACUUCGGACUGGACCAGGGGGAGACCCUGCUGCGCGGCAUGCAGGACCUGCGCGAGGAGCUGAAUGCCUUCGGCGAGACCGUGGCUACCCUGCAACGGCGGGCACAGACCGUGGUGCCACUGAACAAGCGCCGCCAGCCGGUGAACCGUCAGGGUCCCGUGCAGGCCAUCUGCGCCUACAAGCAACAGGGUCAGCUGCAAAUCGAAAAGGGCGAGACAGUGACACUGCUGGACAACUCGGGACGCGUCAAGUGGCGUGUGCGCACUUCCAAGGGUCAGGAGGGCUCCAUACCCGGAGCCUGCCUGCUGCUGCCGCCACCGGACCAGGAGGCCAUCGAUGCCGCCGAGCGUCUGAAGCGCCUGUUCGACCGAUCCGUUGCCCUCUGGCAGAAGAAGCAUCUGCGUCUGCGCCAGAACAUGAUCUUUGCCACCAUCCGUGUGGUCAAGGGCUGGGACUUUGACCAGUUCCUGGCCAUGGGUCCGGAGCAGCGUACCGCCAUCCGGCGGGCUCUCAACGACGACGCCGAUAAAUUGCUCAGCGAGGGCGAUCCCAAUGAUCCGCAGCUGCGACGUCUGCGCCGCGAAAUGGACGAGGUCAAUCGGCUGUUCGAUGAGUUCGAGAAGCGAGCCCGCGCCGAAGAGGAGAGCAAGCAGGCCAGUCGCAUCUUCACGGAGGAAUGCAUUGCCAUCAAGAGCAAGCUGGAGGACAUGGCUCGGGAGCUGGACCAGAUUAUACUGGCUCCACUGCCCCGUGAUCUGGAUUCGUUGGAGCAUGUGCUCGAGAUCCAUGCGGACUACGAGCGCCGGCUGCAUCUGCUGGAGCCGGAGCUGAAGCACCUCCAGGAGACAUUCCGGACGAUCGCCCUGAAGACCCCGGUGCUGAAGAAGAGCCUGGACAACCUGAUGGAGCUGUGGAAGGAGCUGAACACCCAGAGCGGCCUGCACAAGGACCGACUCAAGCUGCUGGAGGCCUCGCUGGCCGGUCUGGAGGACAACGAGCACGUCAUCUCCGAGCUGGAGAACGAGCUGGCCAAGCACCAGGACCUGCCCUCGACCGCCGAGGGCCUGCAGCAGGUGUUCAAGCAACUGACCCACAUGCAGGACGUCAUUACCCAGCAGCAGCCGCAGAUGGACAAGAUGAACGACGCGGCCGACCAGCUGGGACGGAUGGGAGUGCCCACCAAGGUGCUGGGCGACCUCAAGCGGCUGCACUCGAACGUGGAGCGCCUGAACACACGCUGGAGUGCGGUUUGCAACCAGCUGGCUGAAAGAAUGCGCUCAUGCGAAACGGCUAUCGGGCUAAUGAAGAAUCUCCAGUCGAGCGUGCAAGUGGAGGAGUCAUGGGUGGAUGGCACCACCGAACGUCUGUCGGCCAUGCCCACCGCCACCUCGGCAUACGAACUAGACAAACUGCUCGGAGCUGCAAUCGAACGAAAACCAAAAAUCGAAAAUGUCAACGUGGCUGGAGGACGACUCAUACGCGAAGCCAAGAUCUACGACAGUAAAUGUCUACGGUUUGUGGACUGGCUCCUUGAGGCCCGGCCCUCGUUCUCGCCGCCACGACGGGAUCUUCGUCCGGCGGAUAGCGAUCCGGGUGCCACACAGUAUUACAGCCAGCGUUUGGACAAUCUCAAUACGAAGUACGACAGGUUGCUGGAACAACUGUCGCAGAGGCUGAAGACGGCCAUCGAAGUGAAUGGCAGCGACGGUCUGCAAUACGCUGAGAGUCUACAGAAACCGCUCAAGACCUUUAGGGUUGACUUCAGUGCGGGCAGCGUGCCAACUGGCGAUGGCUACGCUGCACGCCCGGAGGAUCUCUACACCACCACCUACAGCACCACACAAUUCAGCUCAACGAAGACAACGAAAAGCUCUACGAAGAGCGUCUACAGUAGCGAUGGCUUGGACGCCGCUAGUCAGGAGGUCAUCACCUCCAACCUGCCCCCCUCUCAGAUCCAGUUCAACGAAAUUCGGACGCUCAAGCGCUCCCAGCAGCUGGGCGGAAACUCUGUGCUGGAUAUUGCCGGAAUACGUGAUCCGCGUACGGGCCGCGUCCUGACGAUUGGCGAGGCCAUCCAGCUGCGCAUUUUGGAUGUGCGAACGGGAGAGAUGCUGGUGGGCGACCGCCGCAUCAGCCUGGAACAGGCCGCCGAACAGGGACUAAUCGAUGCCCAGCUGGCCAGACAGCUGCUCCAGCCCGGAGCCGGACGAGAUGCCAGUGGAAGAGAGCUGUCAUUGCUGGAGGUUAUCCAGCGUGAAAUAAACGAAGCGGAAUCCGGUUACGAGACGGCCGAGAAGAGGAUUAAGGUAAACAGCACGGUGACCGUAGAGAGCACCGGUUCGCCGGAGAAUCCGCGCAACAUUGCCGACGCCAUUACUGCGGGGAGUGUGGACACCAAGACGGGCCUGUAUCGCGUCAAGUCGGGCCAGACGAUCAGCCUGGCGGAGGCCUACGAGCGGGGCUACCUCAUCCGGCACGAGUCGGUGACAAUCAAGUCGAAUGCACUGUGCCUGAGCGAUGCCAUCGCCCAUGGCCUGGUCGACGGCGCCGGCUGGAUAGCGGAUCGCAAUUCCGGCGACAAGUUCCGGCUGGACUCGGCCAUUGCCAAUCAGCUAAUUGACGCGGGUGUGCGCGAGGUGGUGGACGCGAAACGCGAUACGAAGAUCACACUGCAGGAGGCACUGCAGUCGGGCGUUCUGAAUGCCAAGACGGGUCGGUACGUUAACGAGGUGACCAAGGAGAAGCUCACAUUCGCGGAGGCGCGUAACCGUCAGUUGAUCGUUAAGCCGUACACGCUGAAGGACAUCUGCGAUCUGAACCUGCUCGACAAGCAGGCCCAGAUCACGAGUCCCAUGCGCCGCGAGAAACUGAGCAUCAUGCAGGCCAUCGAGGCGGGCGUUUUGGAUGGCAAUAAUCUGAAAUGCAUCACGAAACGGAAGGGCGAACUGGUCACCCUUCAGGAGGCCAUCGCCGACGGUAUCGUUCUGCCGGCGGAAUGCAAGUACCGUGACUUUAUGACCGGGGAACUGAUCAGCAUACCCGAGGCGGUGGAGCGCGGUCUGAUUAGUUCGGUGGCGCAGCGGUCGAUUUUCGAUAUCGAUGGGUUCAAGGACCUGAGGAGCAGCGACUAUGUUAGCUUUAAUGUGGCCCUUUCGCGUGACCUUUUGCGUCGCAAGAGCACGGGCUUUGCCUUGGAAACGGGUAGGGAUAGUCUGGUGCCCCUAGAGGUGGCGGUGGGCGAGGGUCUGGUGCGCCAAGAGGUGUACGAGAUGUUCAAUCGGGGUAUCGGGGUACAGAACGCCAGUGGCCAGGAGCUCAGUGUCUUCGAUCUGGUCUAUCAUAAUCUGAUUGACCCGAAGACAGGCUACCUCUUGGACCCCAAGACAGGUGAGACAGUUCCUUUGGACACCGCCAUCGAGCGGAAGUUUAUCACCGCCGAGGGAGCUCUGCUUCUGAGCAGUUUGCUCAACAUCACCUUGACCACUGAGACUGUGACCAGGACUAUCAACAGAUACGUGACAAUCAGGGCGGGUUCCCAGGAGCCAGGCGACCAGGUGCUGCUAACAUUUACGGAGGCAGUGCGUCAGGGAUUCAUCGACGAAGAAAGGCAGCUGUUCAAGGACCCCAAAACGGGCAACAUCUACUCAGUGCAGCAGGCUCUCAACUACGGACUGCUCGUCCCCGACAGCAACCAGACUGUUCCAGAGCCAACGAAUAGGAAGAAGACAAAGUCCACCAUCACCAUUGUGACCAAGCAGAUCAUCCCAGAAGCAGAACCCAUCAAGCUGAACACCCAGCACACAAAGUACGUGGAGAAGUCUGUGGAGAUUCCCAUUUCCCAGGAGCUGAUCAAGCCACAGCGAGUGGUCUCCGACUUCAUCAACAUGGAGAAGAGCAGCUACAUCGAGCAGAAUGUGACGGAGCGACAGAUUAUGGAACUGCCUCCGGGUGGAUGGCGUCUCAAGGAUGCCAUCGAGCAGCGUAUCUUCAACCCGGAUACCGGAGUGUUCCACGUGCAGGGCACGGAUCGCUUGGUUAACUUCGAGGAGUGCAUCAACAAGCAGAUCAUCAACAACCUGUCGGUUUCCAUAAUCGAUCCCAGCACCGGCGACAAGAUCUCUGUGCAAUCGGCCUUCGAGCGUGAUAUUCUGGACAGCUAUGGCAACUACACCAACAGCCGGAAACAGGUCCUGGGCAUGCGCAGUGCCAUUGACGAGGGCAAGAUCAUUCUGGAGACAGUACCGGCGACUAGAGGUUCCAGCCAGAAGACAAUCCUUCGGAUCACGAGGGUCAACAACAUGCCAGAUGUACUGGAGGUCUCUACGCCCCUUAAGGAUGCGCCGCCAAAGUUCGUGGAGGUGAGUACCUGCCAACGUGAGCUCGCCUCACCAGAGCCUCUGCAGAUCGCUCCCGGCGCCAUCUACGAUCCGUCCACGGCUCUGGUCAUCUUCACCCAGAGCGGCGAGACCGAGAACAUCUUCGAUGCCGCCCGCCAGGGACUCAUAGACGAGCAGCUCAUCAAAAUCGUCGACCCGAGAACCAAGCAGCCCAUUUCCGUAACAGAGGCGAUAGCCCGUUCCAUUUACGAUCCCAAGACAGAAACCAUACUCGAUGCGGAGGGACAACCUGUCGAUCUGAUCACCGCCACCAAGCUGGGCCUGCUCAGUGUGGUGGGAGCCCCUCUGGUGGCUGCCGAGGGAGCCCUGCGAACGGUCCGUUUUGUCACGGAUCCACGAACAGGCGAACAGAUUCCAGUGGAGGUGGCCUACGAACGAGGUAUCGUGUCUCGAGAUCAACUCCAGCGUGGACGGUCCUUCGACAGCGAACCAUCGACGACAACAGUGGAGGAAAAGGUUGUGGUGCUUCAGAGGAUGCGAAAGAUCAUUCUGAAACCGAAGGACGCGUUGCGCAAGGGAAUCAUUGAUGAGGAGACCUGCAAGAUACUCGAGGACACGAACAACUUUACCAAUCCUCAGGGAGAGGUGGUGAACAUAACCGAGGCCUUGAACACGGGCAUGAUUGAUGGGCGUCGUGGCAAGAUCAUCGAUCCCCAGAGCAACCGUGUGCUGAACCUGCGACAAGCCGUGGAACAGAAGAUACUCGAUCCCGAGCAGACCAAUCACAUACUCAUGCCGCUGGCCAAGAGCCUGUCGGUGCCGCGACUGGCUGCCCAGGGACUAGUUGACCCGAAAACUCAGACCAUUGUUCAUCCGGAGAGUGGCUAUCCGCUGAGCAUUCACGAGGCAAUCGUGUGCGAGGUCUUGGACCCCCACUCUACACUCCGCAAGCCUGAGAAGUGCACCCUGGAGGCGGCCAUCAAGAAGGGCAUCGUGGACGCGGAUGAGUCCAUCUUCAAGUACAAGAACAAGAACCUCAACAUCAGCGAAGCCAUCGAAGCCAGGCUCUUCGAUCCGAGCUACGAUCAGCAAAAGUCGAAGGUGGACAUCCCUCCGGUGGGUAUGAUAUUCCCAGUGGCGGUUGAGAAGAGUCUUGUGGAGCCGUCGAAGCGAGUGGUCCUGCAUCCGAGCACCAAGAAUGCUCUGCCCAUCAAGCAAGCCAUCGACGAGAACUUCAUCAUGUCUAUUCCAUAUGCCCCCAAAAAGGACGCCAUCGAAGUGGUGGCCGCUAUGGAGCGAGAUCUGAUCGACGUGGCCGCCCAAACCAUCACCGUUCCAACUACGGGAGAGCGCUUGCCGCUCCGCCAGGCAAUGGAGAAUGGAGUACUGGUAGUGAAGCAACUGUCCGACUUCGUGGUCACCCAGAAGCCUAUUCCCAAGACAGAAAUCAUGGAAACAGUACGAGCCGUGCAUACAGUGACGACGAAAACCAUUGAACUGAUGCAGGGCUAUGUACUGAUUUCGAACAACGAAGUCCAGAACGUAAACACCGGUGAGGUGGUCAGCCUGGAAGAGGCCAAGGAGCUUGGUAUCCUGCGCGAGGAAUCAACCACCCGGGAAACCAAGGCAGCGGCCGGAGAAAGCCCAGAAGCCGUUCAGAAUCUUCCCACGAGCAGCGAUCAGACGGUUGUGGUGGAGGAGCGCACCCAGACAGUGGUGGUCAGCUCAGAUACGCACAAGCAAGAGAUGCAAGUGAUCAGCACCACGCAGUCCACCAAGGAAAAUCCUGCUAUUCCGACUGUAAGCGAAGCCGAGACCAAGGUCGGCAAGGAGCCAUCAAAGACUCUGCAAAAUGUAAAGGAUGCUGCCAAGAUGGGAGCACUGGGAGUAAUUGCUGCUCCAGUGCUGGCCGGAGGAGCCCUUGUCAGCGGCGUGAAGAGCCUUAUCAAAUCUGUGAAGUCUCCCGCAGAAGAUGCCAAGACUACGACCCAAAAACCAGAGAAACCUCAGAGCAGCUUCAUAGAACAGGAGCGCCGCAAUGUGCCAGAGCCACAACAAGUGCCAAGUGAGGUGGAUAAUCUCCUCAACGAAACCGAGAAUUUCAUAAGCUCCACAACUGCCAACUUCAUCAUAAAUGAACAGCAACAGGAGAAGCCUCAGGAGGUGUCGCGUCAGGAAGUUGAAUCCACCAACACACUGACCACCACCACAGUCACAACAAUUACUACCUCAAAGACAACCACGGAGACUGGAGAUGCCGAACCCGUUGUGGUGGAGGAUGUCAAGACUACCACCACUGUGGAGACAACUCCAGUGGAGCCAGAGAUUGCCAAGAAGCCAGAAGACAAGCCAGUGGAUGUUCAAGUAACUGAAACCAUCACCACGGUGACCAGAGAAGAAACUAUUUCGGAGCCAGAAAAGCCAACCACAAAAGAGCCCACGCCUGAGAAGAUUGUGGAGAAGAAGCCAGUGGAGAAGCCAGCCAAGAAGGAAACAACUCCAGCUCCAGUAACGAAGGAAACAACGCCAGCUCCAGUAACGAAGGAACCAACUCCUGAGCCGAUUCAAAAAGAGAAAACUCCUGAGCCAGCACCCAGGGAAGCUGCUCAAGUUCCAACCAAGCCAGAACCUCAACCAAGAACUGCUGUUAAAGAGGAAGUGCCAGCUUUUGAGCCACCUUUCACAGCUCCUUUGGCACCAUUCGAGGAACCUAAAGCCGAGACAAAGAUCACAGAAGUAACAACUGAAGUGCAAGAGCCAGUCUCAAGCACUGAAACUAUCACUACCAUUACGACCACAGUGACAACAAUCGAUCAGCAGCCAAAGGAGGUCACUGAGGUGGACAAAUCCGAGCCAGCAAAGAUUACGGAAGUUGAAGUGGAAAAACCUGCCGUCCAAGAACCAAUUAAGGACGAUAAGCCAAGUGAGAUUCUCGAUGAAGUCUCUGAAGAACCAACUAGCUCGAUAGUGGUUGAAGAAAGGGUGAUCACUGUGGAAGAGCCAACUAUUACAGAAUCUACAGUAACAACCACUAUUACCACAACCACUACUACCACUUCCAGCGAAGAACAGCAACCACAAGAAACAGUGGUCACGGAGAUAGUCAAGGAGGAACCUAAGAAGGAUACGCCUCAACCAGAGAAGACUGUAGUCACGGAAGAGCUAGUAAAGGAAGAGCCUGCCAAGGAUGCAAGCCAACCAAUCACUGAGCCUACUCAGACAACAGAGACAGUGACCACAACGACAACCAUUAUCCAGGAGGAGAAACCCCAACAGCCAGGAGAUCUAGAACAAAUUGUCCAGCCCCCAACUUCAACCAACAAACACCAGUCAGUUGUCGACUUUAUUCAGGCUGAAAAGAACACUCAACCGUCAGAAGGCAGUAAGGUCCUGCAGAAUGUUAAGGAUGCAGCCAAAUUGGGAGCACUGGCCAUUGUGGGAGCUCCUGUCCUGGCCGGCAAGGCUCUGGUGGAUGCCCUCACUUCAGAUAAGGCAACGAAAACUGGUCAGCCCACGACCCAUGUGGUUACUGAAAUCGUGGAAGAGCUGCCAGCAGAUAUAUCCCGCACCACCAGCACAAUUGUGACCAAGGUGACCACCACAACCACUACCACCACCACGACCGGCGAGGGAUCACCCGAAGAUGAGGCCCGCGAUGUUGUGGAACUUCCAAUUUCGUCGGCAGAACCAACAAUCAAACGGGAAGUGCCCAAGACUCUGCCCAUUGGCGAUGCCAUUUCCCAGAAACUCAUCAGCCCGGACGAGUGCCAGGUUAUUGUGGACGGCGAGCAGCAAUCGCAGACUGUCUCCACUCUGCUCAAGGAGGAGCAGCUGAGUCCCUUGGAUGAAGUGCAGAUAAUCGACGACAAACUGAUUAUCCUCCAGCAGAUAUCCUACCUGGUGGACGUGGACACCGAACUGACGCCCGAAAAGCUCAGCGAGUUGAACAUUUACGAUCCAGAGAAUCAGUACUUCAUCGACCCAACUACUGGCCAGAAGAUCUCCUUCCAGACCCUGGUCUUCGACAUGAACAUUUUCAACCCAGAGACCAUUUUGGUGAAGAACUUCAGCACGGGCAAGUACGAGACACUGACAGCUGCCCUGGAGCGUCCGCUGCUGGAUAGGCACACAGGUCACAUGGUGGAUCCCAAGACGGGCAAGAAGAUUCCCUUCUUUGAGUGCAUUGAACGGCAGUGGAUAAUCCGUGCCGAUCCGGAGGAACAGAAACCGACGGGCAUGGAGAACGUGACCAUUGACCCACAGACCGGACAGGUGAUACUUGACGAUGGUCGGGUUUGCUCCAUUGUUGAGGCCAUCAACAGUGGCAAGCUGGACAUCCAGUCGAUAUCGGUGCGCGACCCAGUCAGCGGUGAAGUGAUUCCGCUGCGUAUGGCAAUUGAGUUGGGGGUGGUGGACAUGCAGGCGGGCACGGUGAUCGAUAUCCAGACUCUCAAAGAGAUCCCCAUGGAGCUGGCCUUCCAGCUGGGAUUCCUGGUGCCCGGUGCUCGCAAACCCAUCUCCUUGGAGGCGGCUGUUCGCAAGGGUCUGUACGACCCCGAGACGGGAAAACUUUUCGACUCGGAGAGUCAGAACCAGGUCGAUGUGCAAAAGUCCAUUGAGAUCGGUCUAGUUGACCCCAAGAUUUCGUUGAUCGUUGAUACGGUUACCAAGAAGGAGGUCAAGCUGGACUGCGCCAUCGAGGAUGAGCUGGUGGUGCCCUCCACGGGCCAAAUCAAGGACAACAAGAACAACACCCUGGUGCCGUUCGAUGUGGGUGUACAGCAGCGUCUGGUGAAGACAGACAGUGUGACCUGGAGCCUGCCGGAGGUGCUUCAGCGCGAGUACUACACGCCCAGCACUGGCAAGGUCCUGAAUCCAGUCACCGGUGAGGAGAUUCUCCUCCAGCAGGCCAUCGAGAUGGGUUUCGUGGAGCUAGAUACUACGCUGGUGAAAGACGCCGACCACGACAAGAUCGUGCCGGGCAAGGAGGCGGCCAAGGUGGGUCUGCUGGACACGGUGCGCGGCACACUGAGCUCGCCCAACAUUAGCCUCGACGAGGCCUUCGUCAAGGGCUACCUGAUCAGCACCAAGAAGCCGCUGUCCCUGGUCGAUUGUCUGCUGCGUGGUCUCUACGAUCCGUCGACAGCCAAGUUCACCAUCGACGACAAGCAGCUGGACCUCAAGUCCGCCAUUGCCCAGAAGCUCAUCAAUCCCGAGGAGCUGGUGCUGCUCGACCCCAAAACGGAGUCCAUUAUUUCCCUCACCGAGGCCAUAGCCAAGGGCUAUCUCGAUCCGAUCGGCGGGUAUGUGAUUAAUCCAUACACCUCCACCAAGCUGUCGCUCCACGAAGCCCUGGAGAACAGGAUUCUCAUUCCGCCCAAGCGCAAGCGCAGCCUGCCGGAUGCAGUCUACCGGGGUCUCUACGACCCGAAGACGGGUCAGUUCAGCAACACGGUGACCCGCGAGAAGCUCACAACUGAACGUGCCAUUCGCAGGGGCAUCCUCGAUCCCGAUUCGACGGUCGUCAAUGUGGGUUCGGGUCAGAUCAUACCAUUCGGGGUGGCCACAGAGACGGGCAUUGUGGACAGUAGGCAGGGCACGGUGAAGGACCAGGACGACAAAUCGAUUGACUUUAAGGAGGCAUUCGACCGGGGUGUCCUGGUGGAGGCCAAGAAACCACUUCGUCUCAUCGAGGCGGUGGUGAAGAAUGUCUACGACGAGGUGGACGGACACUUUGUGGAUCCCAAGUCGGGCGAGAAACUGAACUUUGCCGAGGCCCUGAACACCAAUCUGCUGGACGAGCACAGUGUCCAGAUUAGGGACUUCAAGACGGGACUUUACAAGCAGCUUAACCUGACCCACGCCAAGGACUCUGGCGUCAUUGAUGCCCAGAACUCCAAGUUGCUGUACAACAACCAGACCAUGACCCUCAAGCACGCCUUCGACAUUGGCAUCCUCAUGGAUGUCAAUGCCCCGAUUAGCAUUCAGCGAGCCAUCCACCAGGGACUCUUUGACGACAAGACCGGCAAGCUCAGCGAUCCGCGAAGUGGUCGCCAGAUCACUCUCCUCGAGGGUAUGCGCAGCUUCGUCAUCAAUCCCCAUCUCUCCUGCUACUUCGAUGAGCAAACCGAAACCAUGUAUUCCCUCAGCGAGACCUGUAGGAACGGUAUCAUCAACAGGCGCGAAGGCGUCUUCCGGGAGCCGGGCAGCAGUAGCUUUGUGCCUCUGGGCGAGGCCCUGAGUCUCGGCCUGAUUGUGGACAUAGAGAACGCUGGCUUCGGGCUCUACGAACUUCUGUCCAUGGGCUUCUAUGACACUCCCACGCGCAAGGUCCUCCAUCCGGUGACCAACCGCAAGCUGAAUCUUAACGAGGCCUGCGUGGAGGACGUGGUUAGCCUGUCCUCCAGCCUGGUCAAGCACCACGAGACCGGCAAGUAUCUGCGCCUGGCCAAUGCCAUCAAGGAGCAGUUGAUCGAUGACAACAGGGGUUGCUAUAACUUGGGUAACGAACAGUUGGACCUGCAGGCCGCCAGAGCACGAGGCUUCAUUGUCUCCAACCGCCGCCUGCUAAGUCUGGAGCUGGUGCUGCGCCAGCAACUCUACCGCCCCGAAACGGGCAAGUUCUGCGAUCCAACAACCGGGGAGUACCUCGACCUUAUCGAGGCUAUUCAUUCAGGGUUUAUAGAUCCCGCGACCACGGUGUUCAAGAACCAGCUUACCGGAAAGGAGCUGCCUCUGGGCGAGGCCAUUGAGAACGGGGACAUCGAUGUGUCCAAGGGUCGGGUAUUCGAUCCCAAGUCCAAAUCGGCCUACAACUACGACGUGGCACUCGCGCGCGGCAUCCUGGUGACCGUCGCCCGUCCUCUAACCGAUCGCAGUGAGGUGGUCCGUCGCCAGGACAGCGUCGAACUUUUGGGACAAACGCCCGUGAGCGUUGUGAUCAGCAAGCCGCGCGAAAUGUCUCUCGAGGAGGCUAUCCGGUACAAUAUAAUCGAUCCGAAGACCGCGCUCGUACGCGAUUUCGAUAGCUUCAAGUUCCUGCCGUACUCCGUGGCAGUGGAACGCGGUCUCGUGGACACCACCAAGCGCACCCUCGUGGACCCGAAGGCCCUGUACUUUGCCUUCGAUCCCACCUUGAUUGUUUAUGUCCGCGAACCGAUAACCUUUGACCAGGCGGCCGAGUCCAAGUGCCUGGACUUGCAGACCGGAAUCCUAACCUAUGUCCCAGUGUCCAGUGCAACUGGCAACGAAUCCGCACCAGCGGGCGAUGAUAGUGCAAACGACUCACUGACUGUCAUCGAAACGCCCAAGGUAUACACGCUCAAGGAGGCCGCCAGUGCUGGGGUUGUGGAUCCCGAUUCGGCGCUGGUCAAGGAUCUGGCCAAGGCCAAGCUGGUCCGCCUGCCGGAGGCCUUCCGCAAGGGUCUGAUGGACGCCAACAAGGCGAACGUGCUGAACACCCAGACCUCGAAGCUCUGCACCCUGCAGGAGGCCUACGAAAGUGGCCUGAUCUGCACACCCAAGCGCUCCUUCGGCCUGCUUGAAGCCAUCACCUUCAACCUGUACAAUCCCACCAACGGAUGCCUCGUAGAUCCCUUCCAAAUGCAUCCCGAUAUCAUCCGCCGCCGGAAGUUCACGCUGGCGGAGGCCAUUGGCUCGGGUCUGGUGGAUCCCUCGUCGACGGUGGUGCGUGAUCCCAGCAGCGGGGUCAUCGUCCCACUGACGGCUGCCAUCGGCAGCGGGCUUAUUGAUGCCGCCGAGGGUCGCCUGACCGACGCCAGUGACCCGAAGAACAACAUCGACCUGGUGAAGGCCGCCGAGAAGGGCCUGCUCCUGCCGGCAGAACAGAGGCAAGCAGUAUUCGAGAAGUUCAACAUGUGCGAGGAGAACGUCAACGACCUCCUCAAGUGGGUGACCACUGUGGAACAGAAAAUCUCAAGUGUCGGCGGACCACGUGAAAAGAUCGAUGAGUUGCGCAACCAGAUCAAUGCUCUCAAGCAAAUCAAGGACGAGAUUGAAUCCCAACAGCGACCUGUGGCCACUUGUCUGGAGCAGAUCCGUCAAAUCGUUCUUACUGGCGGCGAUGUCUUGUCCGCCCCCGAGGUCACCACCCUGGAGAACUCCGGCCGGGAGCUGCGUUCUCGUGUGGAUCGCGUCAACGACCGCACUGUUCGCCUGCUCCGCCGCCUCGAGGCUGGUCGGGAUGAGCUGACCAAGCUGCGCAGCGAACUGGAUGUCUUCUCCGACUGGCUGCAAGUGGCACGUCGCACCCUGGAGGACAAGGAGCGCUCUUUGUCCGAUCUGACCCGUCUGCCCUCCCAGGCCGAUUCGGUGAGGGAGUUCGUUAGCGAUGUGAUUGGACACCAGGCCGAUCUUCGUUUCAUCACGAUGGCUGCCCAGAAGUUCGUGGACGAGAGCAAGGAGUUCCUGGCCAUACUCAAUGACUUCCGCACCUCGCUGCCAGAGCGUCUGCCCCAUGUGGAGCCGUUGUCCAGUGCCGAGAGUCCCAUCCGCCAGGAGGUCUCCUUGGUGUCGGCCCAGUACAAGGAUCUGCUGAACCGUGUCAACGCUCUGCAGGAUCGUGUUUCUGGGCUGGGCGGACGCCAGCGUGAGUACCAGGAUGCCCUGGACAAGGCCAACGAGUGGCUGCGUAGUAUCGCCCCUCGGGUAUCGCGCAUCAUUGCCGAACCCAUUGCCGGGGAUCCCAAGGGCGUGCAGGACCAGAUGAACGAGGCCAAGGCCUUGCACAAUGAACUCCUCUCCAGCGGCCGUUUGGUGGACAAUGCCCAGCAGGCUCUGGAUAACUUGCUGCGCAGCCUGGGCGGCCAACUGAGCCCGAUGGAAAUCAACCAACUGGAACUGCCCAUUGCCGACCUGAAGAACAACUACCAGCAGCUGCUGGAUAAUCUCGGCGAGCACUGCAAGAACCUGGACAAGACUCUGGUGCAGUCACAGGGCGUACAGGACGCCCUGGACAGUCUGGUCGGAUGGGUCAACCAGGCCGAGGACAAGUUCAAGCUCAACCUCCGCCCGGCAUCCCUGAUCAAGGAGCGCCUGCAGGAGCAGAUCCGCGAGCACAAGGUGCUGCUGGCCGAUCUCCAGUCUCACCAGGCCAGCAUCGACAGUGUCCAGAUCUCGGCCAAGCAUCUGCUGGCCAGUGCCUCGAACGCCCGCAUCGCCAAGAAGGUGGAGUCGAACCUCAACGACGUCACCGGCAAGUUCGAGAAGCUCUACGAGAAGGCCAACAAGCGAGGCGAGUUCCUGGACGACGUCUACAACCGCCUUGGAAGGUACCUGGAUGACAUCAGCAACGUGGAGCAGCGCAUGGCCAGUCUGCAGGAAGCCCUCGACAGCAGGGAGACCAGCCUGCUGUCCACCGAGGAGCUGGCCCGCCGCAUGAACGACCUGUCGCGCGAAAAGGACCACCUGGCGCCGCAGUUCGAGGACUGUGUGCGCAACGGCAAGGAUCUGAUUGGUCUGCGCGACGUCACCGACACCGGAGUGCUGCGUGACCGCAUCAAGGCCCUGGAGUCGCAGUGGCGCAACAUCAACAUCAGCAUCGACGAGCGGGCCAAGCUCUCCAAGCAGAAGGCCGAGCAGCAGCUGGCCUACGAAGGACUCAAGGACCAGGUGCUCUCCUGGCUAGCUAGCACGGAGGCGCGCGUCAAUGGACUGCCACCGGUGGCCAUUGAUCUGGACAGGAUUAAGCAGCAGCACGAUGAGUUGAAGCCCAUUUGCAAGGACUACCGCGACUAUGCCCCCACUAUCGAUAAGAUCAACGAUAUUGGAGCCCAGUACGAUGCUCUCAUCCGUCCGGAGAGUCCGGCCAGGAAGAGGUCCACCUACAGCCCGAUCAAGCGAGCUAGCCCGCUGCGCCGCAUGUCCGGAGACGCCAGAAGCCCCAGCCCCACCAAGGGAGGCAUCCUGUCGCCACUAUCGACUGGUUCCAGUGGAUUCGGUAGCCGCAGGUCCUCCCAGGACGGUUUCCAGCUGUCUGAGCUGUCUCCGGUACAGCAGCAGCUGAGCGAGAUCAACAACCGGUACGGCCUGAUCGGCGUCCGGCUGAACGACCGCCAGCACGAGCUGGACAACCUCAGCGAAGAGCUGCGCAAGCAGUACGACAACCUCAAGGGACUGGCCCAGUUCCUGGAGCGCAUCCAGCGCCAGGUACCCAAGGAGUCCGUUUCCAACAAGGACGAGGCCGAGCGCUGCAUCAAGCAGGCGCGCAAAAUACUCGAGGACAUGUACGAGAAGCAGAGCCUUCUGGACACCACCAAGGCCCAGAUCAAGGACAUCCUGCGUCGCAAGUCGGAUGUUCCCGGAGCGGAGCAACUACGCCUGGAGAACGAGAACAUCCAGGAGAAGUGGAAGAAUCUCAACGACAUUUGCAAGAACCGCAUCGCCUUCUCCGAGAAGCUGCGCGACUUCCUCGACACCCACGGCAACCUGAAGAGCUGGCUGGACAGCAAGGAGCGCAUGCUGACGGUGCUGGGACCCAUCUCUUCGGAUCCCCGUAUGGUCCAGAGCCAGGUGCAACAGGUUCAGGUGCUCCGCGAGGAGUUCCGCACCCAACAACCGCAACUCAAGCACUUCCAAGAGCUGGGACACGAUGUUGUUGACCACCUGGCCGGCACACCCGACGCCCAGGCUGUCGAAGUGAAGCUGAAGGACAUCCUGGGCAAGUGGGAGGAUCUGGUUGGCAAACUGGACGACCGGGCCAACAGUCUGGGUGGCGCUGCUGACAGUUCCAAGGAAUUCGACGCGGCAGUCAACCGUUUGCGAGAGGCCCUCCAGAACAUCAGCGACAAUCUGGAUGCCCUGCCCACGGAUGGUGACCACCAGGAGAACUUGCGCAAGAUCGAGAACCUGGAGCGCCAGCUGGAGGGUCAGCGUCCUUUGCUGGCCGACGUGGAACAGUCCGCCGCCACUUUGUGCAACAUUCUGGGCGAUCCCGCCUCUCGUGCGGAUGUCAACUCCCGCGUGGCCGCCCUGGAGAAGCAGUAUCUGGCUCUCCAGAAGAAACUGGACACCAAGAAGGCCGAGACAGAGGCCUCGCUACGCGAUGGCCGCCACUUUGCCGAGAACUGCUCCAAGACUCUGGGCUGGCUGGGAGGAGAGCUCUCCAAUCUCACCGACCGCCUGCUGGUUUCCGCGCACAAGCCCACCCUGCAGCACCAGAUCGACACCCACGAACCCAUCUACCGCGAGGUGAUGGCUCGCGAGCACGAGGUCAUCAUGCUGAUCAACAAGGGCAAGGAUCUGUCCGACCGCCAGCAGGACCGUGGAGUGAAACGCGACCUGGACCGCAUCCAGCAGCAGUGGGAGAAACUGCGCCGCGAGGCCGUCGACCGUCACACCAGGCUGCAAACCUGCAUGGAGCAUUGCAAGAAGUAUUCCCAGACCUCGGAGCAGUUCCUCGCCUGGCUGCGCACCGCCGAGGACAAGCUGUCGGAUCUGACACCCGGAGUUCUGUCCAAGGCCAAGCUGGAGACUCGUCUGCGCGACCUGCAGACCUUCCGCAGCGAAGUGUGGAAGCACUCGGGUGAGUUCGAGAACACCAAGGGCCUGGGUGAGACCUUCCUCACCAGCUGCGACAUCGACAAGGAGCCCAUCAAGGCGGAGCUGCAGGACAUUCGCGACCGCUGGGAGCGCCUGAACAACGACCUGAUUGCCCGCGCUCACGAGAUUGAGAACUGCUCCCGCCGCUUGGGCGACUUCAAUGAUGAACUCCGCAACCUGGACCAUUCUCUGGGUCGUUGCGAGGAUCGCCUUGCUGCCCACGACGCUUUGGGUGGCGCUGCCAAGGAUCCCAAGCUUCUGGAGCGUGUCAAGGCCAUUCGCGAGGAGCUGACCAAUCUCAGCAAGCCUCUGCAGUCCCUCAAGGCUCUGGCCAAGGACAUCAGUGCCGAGGCGAGAGCCGCCGGCGGAGACGCCGACCACCUGACCAGCGAAGUCGAUGGCCUGGCCGAUCGCAUGUCCGAGUUGCAGGGUCGCUUGGAUGACCGUUGCGGAGAACUGCAAUCCGCCGCCACUGCCGUCUCCCAGUUCAACGAACAAAUGAAGAGCCUGGGCAUCGACCUGAACGACCUGGAAACUGAGAUCGAGAAGCUGUCGCCGCCGGCACGCGAAAUCAAGAUCGUGCAACAGCAGCUGGACGAUGUGGGCAAGAUUCAGCACAAGCUGGAUCGCCUGGUGGGUCGCCUGGAGGAUGCCGAGCGUGCCGCCGAUGUCCUUGUAGAUGCCGGAUUCGCUGCGGACACCACUCAGACCCGCGAGCAGAUCUCCACGCUGCGCAAGACUCUGGGACGCCUGGACAACCGGGUGCGCGACCACGAGGACAACCUGCAGGCCACUCUGAAGGCUCUCCGCGAGUUCUACGACAACCAGUCGACCACCCUGGACGACAUUCAGGAUGUCAGCGAGGAGUUCAAGCGCAUGAAGCCUGUGGGCUCGGAACUGGAUCAGAUCCGCCGCCAGCAGGAGGACUUCCGCAACUUCAGGGAGCGCAAGGUGGAGCCGCUGGCCGUCAACGUGGACAAGGUCAACGUGGCCGGACGGGAUCUGGUGCGAUCCGCCGGCAGUGGUGUCUCCACCACGGCCAUUGAGAAGGAUCUGGAGAAGCUGAACGACCGCUGGAACGACCUGAAGGAGCGUAUGAACGAGCGGGACCGCCGCCUGGAUGUGGCUCUGCUGCAGUCUGGCAAGUUCCAGGAAGCUCUGGCCGGUCUCUCCAAGUGGCUCAGCGACACCGAGGAGAUGGUGGCCAACCAGAAGCCGCCCAGCUCCGACUACAAGGUGGUGAAGGCCCAGUUGCAGGAACAGAAGUUCCUCAAGAAGAUGCUCCUGGAUCGCCAGAACUCGAUGGGUUCUCUGGCCAAUCUCGGCAAGGAGGUGGCCAACCACUGCGAGCCCGCCGAACGGGCCUCUAUCGAGAAGCAACUGAACGACCUGAUGAAGCGAUUCGAUGCCCUCACCGACGGAGCCGAGCAGCGUGAACUGGACCUGGAGGAGGCCAUGGAGGUGGCCAAGCGAUUCCACGACAAGAUCAGCCCCCUGGAACUGUGGCUCGACAACACUGAGCGCGCGGUGAAGUCCAUGGAACUCAUUCCCACUGACGAGGAGAAGAUCCAGCAGCGCAUCCGCGAACACGAUCGCCUGCACGACGAGAUUCUGGGCAAGAAGCCCGACUUCACCGACCUCGCCGACGUGGCCGCCCAGCUGAUGCACUUGGUCAGCGACGAGGAGGCCGUCAAUCUUGGCGAGAAGGUUCGUGGUGUGACGGAACGGUACACGGGCCUGGUGGAUGCCAGCGACAACAUUGGAGCUCUGCUGUCCGAGUCCCGCCAGGGACUGCGUCACUUGGUCCUCAGCUACCAGGACCUGGUGGCCUGGAUGGAGAGCAUGGAGGCGGAGCUGAAACGCUUCAAGUCCGUGCCCGUCUACGCCGAGAAGCUGCUGGAGCAGAUGGAUCAUCUGCUGGAGCUGAACGAGAACAUUGCCGGCCAUGCCUCCAAUGUGGAGUCCACCGUGGAAUCCGGUGCUGAGCUCAUGAAGCACAUUUCCAACGACGAGGCCAUCCAGCUGAAGGAUAAAUUGGACUCCCUGCAGCGUCGCUACGGAGACCUGACCAACCGUGGUGGAGAUCUGCUCAAGAGCGCCCAGAACGCUCUGCCUUUGGUGCAGCAGUUCCAUGAAGCCCACAACCGUUUGGUCGAAUGGAUGCAGAGCGCCGAGGCCGCCUUGGCCCCGAGUGAGCCCCGCCAGUCGGAUGUCCUCCGGCUGGAGGGUGAGCUGGCCGACAUGCGUCCCAUCCUGGAUACCAUCAAUCUGAUUGGACCCCAGCUGUGCCAGCUGUCGCCGGGAGAAGGUGCCGCCACCAUCGAGAGCAUCGUUACCCGGGACAACCGCCGCUUCGACUCCAUUGUGGAGCAAAUCCAGCGAAAGGCCGAGCGCCUGCAUCUGAGCAACCAGCGCGCCAAGGAAGUCACUGGAGACAUCGAUGAACUGCUCGAAUGGUUCCGCGAAAUGGACACCACCCUGCGCGAGGCCGAUCCCCCGGCCAUGGAGCCCAAGCUGGUGCGUGCCCAGUUGCAGGAGCAUCGCUCCAUCAACGACGACAUCUCCAGCCAGAAGGGACGCGUUCGCGACGUGACUGCCGCUUCCAAGAAGGUCCUGCGCGAGUCGCCGCAGAGUGAGAACACCGCUACCCUGCGCGAGAAGCUGGACGACCUCAAGGAGAUUGUCGACACAGUGGCCCAACUGUGCAGCGAGCGUCUGGGCAUCUUGGAGCAGGCUCUGCCCCUGUCCGAGCACUUUGCCGACUCCCACCAGGGACUGACAGCCUGGCUGGAUGACAUGGAGCAGCAGAUAUCGCGCCUCAGUAUGCCUGCCCUUCGUCCGGAUCAGAUCACCCUGCAGCAGGACAAGAACGAGCGCCUCCUGCAAUCGAUUGCCGAGCACAAACCGCUCCUGGACAAGCUGAACAAGACGGGUGAGGCUCUGGGUGCUCUGGUGGCCGACGAGGACAGUGCCAAGAUCAACGAGAUUCUGGACACCGACAAUGCCCGCUACGCCGCCCUCCGUUUGGAGUUGCGCGAACGCCAACAGGCCCUGGAGAGUGCUCUCCAGGAGUCCAGCCAGUUCUCCGACAAGCUGGAGGGCAUGCUCCGUGCCCUGGCCAAUACCGUGGAUCAGGUGAACCAACUGGAUCCUCUGUCGGCUCUGCCCCAGAAGAUCCGCGAGCAGAUCGAGGACAAUGAUGCGCUGAUGGAUGAUCUGGACAAGCGACAGGAUGCCUUCAGUGCCGUCCAAAGGGCGGCCAACGAUGUCAUUGCCAAGGCGGGCAACAAGUCCGAUCCCGCCGUGCGCGACAUCAAGGCCAAGCUGGAGAAGCUGAACAACCUGUGGAACGAUGUGCAGAACGCCACCAAGAAGCGUGGCAGCUCAUUGGACGACAUCCUCAGUGUGGCCGAGCCCUUCUGGAAGCAGCUGAACAGCGUGAUGAAGACCCUGAAGGAUCUGGAGGAGACCCUCUCGUGCCAGGAGCCACCGGCGGCCCAGCCGCAGGACAUCAAGAAGCAGCAGGUGGCCCUGCAGGAGAUCCGUCACGAGAUCGACCAGACCAAGCCCGAGGUGGAGCAGGUGCGUCGCCAUGGCAGCAACCUGAUGAACAUGUGCGGCGAGCCCGACAAGCCGGAGGUCAAGAAGCACAUCGAGGACCUGGACAAUGCUUGGGACAACAUCACCGCCCUGUACGCCAAGCGCGAGGAGAACCUCAUCGAUGCCAUGGAGAAGGCCAUGGAGUUCCACGAGACUCUGCAGAACCUGCUGAAGUUCCUCACCAAGGCCGAGGACAAGUUCGCCCACCUGGGCGCCGUUGGCUCGGACAUUGAUGCCGUCAAGCGGCAGAUUGAACAGUUGAAGUCCUUCAAGGAUGAAGUCGAUCCGCACAUGGUUGAAGUAGAAGCAUUAAACAGAGGUCUCCAAAGACAAGCUGUGGAACUGACGGAACGCACUUCACCCGAGCAGGCGGCAUCUAUCCGGGAGCCCCUGUCGGUGGUCAACCGCCGCUGGGAGGCCCUACUCCGUGGCAUGGUCGAGAGGCAGAAGCAGCUGGAGCACGCCCUGCUCCACUUGGGUCAAUUCCAGCACGCCCUCAACGAACUGCUGGUCUGGAUCAACAAGACCGAUGGAACUCUGGAUCAGUUGAAACCAAUCCCUGGAGAUCCCCAACUGCUGGAGGUCGAGCUGGCCAAGCUCAAGGUUUUGGCCAACGACAUCCAGGCCCAUCAGAAUUCCGUGGAUACUCUCAACGACGCCGGCAGGCAGCUGAUUGAAACCGAGAAGGGUUCCCUCGAGGCCUCCACCACACAGGAGAAGCUGCGCAAGCUCAACAACGAGUGGAAGCAGUUGCUCCAGAAGGCCAGCGAUCGCCAGCACGAACUGGAAGAGGCGCUGCGCGAGGCUCACGGUUACAUAGCCGAGGUCCAGGAUAUUCUGGGCUGGUUGGGCGACGUGGAUGCCGUUAUUGGAGCCAGCAAGCCAGUGGGUGGUCUGCCCGAAACAGCCACCGAGCAGCUGGAGCGCUUCAUGGAAGUGUACAACGAGCUGGAGGAGAACAGGCCCAAGGUGGAGACCAUUCAGGCCCAGGGCCAGGAGUACAUCAAGCGCCAGAACCAAAUGAAGGUCUCGUCCAGCAAUCUGCAGCACACGCUGCGAACGCUGAAGCAGCGCUGGGAUGCUGUGGUUUCCCGGGCCUCCGACAAGAAGAUCAAGCUGGAGAUUGCCCUCAAGGAAGCCACCGAGUUCCACGACACCCUGCAGGCCUUCGUGGAGUGGCUGACCCAAGCCGAGAAGUUGCUGUCCAAUGCAGAGCCCGUGUCCCGGGUGUUGGAGACCAUCCAGGCCCAAAUGGAGGAGCACAAGGUGCUGCAGAAGGAUGUGAGCACACAUCGCGAGGCCAUGCUGUUGCUGGACAAGAAGGGCACGCACCUGAAGUACUUCAGCCAGAAGCAGGACGUGAUCCUCAUCAAGAACCUGCUCGUCUCCGUCCAGCAUCGCUGGGAGCGAGUGGUGAGCAAGGCCGCGGAACGCACCCGUGCUCUGGACCAUGGCUACAAAGAGGCCCGCGAGUUCAACGACGCCUGGAGCGGCAUGAUGCAGUACCUGCAGGAAACCGAGCAGGUUCUGGAUCAGAUCAUCGAGGAGGCCACCGCCUCCAAGGAGCCGCAGAAGAUCAAGAAGUACAUUGGCAAGCUGAAGGAAACUCACCGCCAGCUGGGCGCCAAGCAGUCCGUCUACGACGGCACCAUGCGCACCGGCAAGAACCUGAUGGAGCGUGCUCCGAAGGGCGAUCGCCCGGUUCUGGACAAGAUGCUGCUGGAGCUGAAGGAGCAAUGGACGCGUGUCUGGUCAAAGAGCAUCGAGCGCCAGCGCAAGCUGGAGGAGGCUCUGCUGCUGUCCGGCCAGUUCAGCGAUGCUCUGGGUGAGCUGCUCGACUGGCUGAAGAAGGCCAAGAGCCGUCUGAACGAGAACGGGCCGGUGCACGGCGACCUGGAGACGGUCCAGGGACUCUGCGAGCACCACAAACACAUCGAGCAGGAUCUGCAGAAGCGCGCUGCCCAAAUGCAGGGCGUCCUGAAGACGGGUCGCGACCUGGAACGUUCGGGCAACAACCCGGAGGUCGGUCGCCAGCUGGAUGAGAUGCAGUCCAUUUGGGAGGAGGUCAAGAAUGCCGUCGCCAAGCGCGGCGAUCGCCUCCAGGUGGCUCUGGUCGAUGCCGAGAAGCUGAAUGCCCGCGUCCAGGCCCUGUUCGACUGGUUGGAUCAUGCCGAGCACAAGCUGCGCUACGCCAAGAACGCCCCCGACGAUGAGAAGGUGUCGCGCGAAAUGAUGGACAUCCACAUGGAGUUCAUGAAGGAUCUGCGGGUCCGCGAGCGCGAGAAGACCGAGACCUUCGAAUAUGCCGAGGAUAUUAUCGGCAAGGCCUAUCCGGACGCCAUUCCCAUCAUCAAGAACUGGCUGUCGAUUAUCCAACAGCGCUGGGAGGAAGUGCGCCAGUGGGCCAUUAACCGUGAGUCCAAGCUGGAGCAGCACUUGCAGUCGCUCAAGGAUCUGGACGAUACCAUUGAGGAGCUGCUAGCCUGGCUCAGCGGACUCGAGGGCACUCUGUUGAACCUCAAGCACGAGCGCCUGCCGGAUGAGAUUCCACCGGUGGAGAAGCUGAUCGAGGACCACAAGGAGUUCAUGGAGAACACCGCUCGUCGCCAGAACGAGGUGGACCGCGCCUGCAAGCCACGCCAACUGCCCCCAGGAGCCCGCAAGCCAUCCCGUAGCGGCAAGACACCAGUUCGUGGCUCCAGUCACGAUCUGCGCGAGACGUCACCCGACGGCACUCUGAGGCGUCAAAGCUUCAAGGGAUCUCGGGAUCAAGGACUCAACGCCCGCAAGGGAAGUCGUGUCACACCCACUCGAGACACGCCCGACAGAGAUCGCCUGCCGCAUUACGGCCCCAGGUUCUCGCCAAGCACUGCUGGACCCGAACUGGAAUUCCGUUCGCCUCGCGCCAAGCUUCUGUGGACCAAGUGGCGCGAUGUCUGGAUGCUCUCAUGGGAGCGUCAGCGCCUGCUCUACGAUCAUCUCCUGUAUCUGAAGGAUGUGGAGCGUGCUCGCAACUUCAGCUGGGAUGAUUGGCGCAAACGCUUCCUGAAGUACAUGAACCACAAGAAGUCUCGUCUCACGGACCUCUUCCGCAAAAUGGACAAGGACAACAAUGGCAUGAUUCCACGCGAUGUCUUCAUCGAUGGCAUUCUCAACACGAAAUUCGACACUUCUGGCUUGGAAAUGAAGGCCGUGGCCGAUCUAUUCGAUCGCAAUGGCGAGGGUCUCAUUGACUGGCAGGAGUUCAUUGCCGCCCUGCGUCCUGACUGGCAGGAGCGCAAACCUGCCACCGACUCGGAUAAGAUUCAUGACGAAGUCAAGCGCCUGGUUAUGCUCUGCACCUGCCGACAGAAGUUCCGAGUGUUCCAAGUGGGCGAAGGCAAAUACAGAUUUGGAGACUCCCAGAAACUGCGCCUGGUCCGCAUCCUUCGCAGCACUGUCAUGGUGCGUGUGGGCGGCGGCUGGGUAGCCCUGGACGAAUUCCUGCAGAAGAACGAUCCUUGCCGCGCCAAGGGACGCACUAACAUUGAGCUACGCGAGCAAUUCAUAUUGGCCGAUGGCGUCUCCCAGAGCAUGGCCGCAUUCACGCCCAGACGUUCCACGCCCAAUGCAGCAGCCACUGCCUCCUCCUCACCCAAUGCCCAGAAUGGCGGCAGCUCCAACUUGCCGCCAUACAUGAGUGGACAGGGUCCCAUCAUCAAGGUUCGCGAGCGUUCGGUACGCUCUAUUCCCAUGUCAAGACCAUCGCGCUCGUCGCUCUCGGCCAGCACUCCGGACUCUCUGAGCGACAACGAGGGCAGCCACGGAGGACCCUCGGGCCGGUACACGCCCCGCAAGGUCACCUACACGAGCACGCGCACAGGCCUCACGCCAGGAGGCUCUCGUGCCGGCUCCAAGCCCAACUCGCGCCCGCUCAGCAGACAAGGAUCGAAGCCACCGUCGCGACAAGGCUCCACUCUAUCGCUGGAUAGCACAGACGACCAUACACCCUCACGCAUUCCACAACGCAAACCGUCAACGGCCAGCACCACUAGUGGAACCACACCGCGUCCGGCUCGUCUUUCGGUGACCAGCACCACGCCGGGUAGUCGCCUCAAUGGCACCAGCACCAUCACCCGCAAGACCGCCUCCGGCUCAGCCAGUCCGGCACCCACAAGCCGGCCAUCACGGAUACCGAUUAAGAUACCCUCAUUCGAUUCCAAGUCAACAUCGCCCACCAGCUCGACUACGAAUCCAACCAGCUUGGGGUAAAGUUGAUAAGCAAUCAGCCACAGACAUUAACUAGUCAAUAUCCAACACUCAGUCUAUAGCGGAACAUCAGCGGCAGCUCAACCCCAUCGGGCAUGCAGACGCCGAGGAAGAGCUCGGCGGAGCCAACGUUC